rnacentral:rRNA from 1 species
AGUCACUGACAUUAGAUACCCCCGUAGUCCUAGCCGUAAACGAUACUCGCUAGGUGUCGGCCACGGUGCGACCGUUGUCGGUGCCGUAGGGAAGCCGUGAAGCGAGCCACCUGGGAAGUACGGCCGCAAGGCUGAAACUUAAAGGAAUUGACGGGGGAGCACCGCAACGGGAGGAGCGUGCGGUUCAAUUGGAUUCAACGCCGGACAACUCACCAGGAGCGACGGUUACAUGAAGGCCAGGCUGAUGACCUUGCCUGAUUUUCCG